rnacentral:rRNA from 1 species
GUAGGGAAUAUUGGACAAUGGGCGAAAGCCUGAUCCAGCCAUGCCGCGUGAUAGAUGAAGGCCCUCUGGGUUGUAAAUAUCUUUUAUCUGGGAAGAAACUCCUCUAUUCUUAGAGGCCUGACGGUACCAGAGGAAUAAGCACCGGCUAACUCCGUGCCAGCAGCCGCGGUAAUACGGAGGGUGCAAGCGUUAUCCGGAUUCACUGGGUUUAAAGGGUGCGUAGGCGGGUUGAUAAGUCAGUGGUGAAAGCUCCGGGCUUAACUUGGAAACUGCCAUUGAUACUGUCAAUCUUGAAUGUCGUAGAGGUAAGCGGAAUGUUGCAUGUAGCGGUGAAAUGCUUAGAUAUGUCAUGGAACACCAAUUGCGAAGGCAGCUAGCUGGGCCUUGAUUGACGCUGAGGCACGAAAGCGUGGGUAGCGAACAGGAUUAGAUACCCCUGUAGUCC